UACGAAGGCAGCAGUGGGGAAUAUUGCACAAUGGGCGCAAGCCUGAUGCAGCCAUGCCGCGUGUAUGAAGAAGGCCUUCGGGUUGUAAAGUACUUUCAGUCGUGAGGAAGGUGUUAAGGUUAAUAACCUUAGCAAUUGACGUUAGCGACAGAAGAAGCACCGGCUAACUCCGUGCCAGCAGCCGCGGUAAUACGGAGGGUGCGAGCGUUAAUCGGAAUUACUGGGCGUAAAGGGCACGCAGGCGGUUAAUAAGUUGGAUGUGAAAUCCCCGGGCUUAACCUGGGAAUGGCAUUCAAGACUGGUUAGCUAGAGUCUUGUAGAGGGGGUAGAAUUCCAUGUGUAGCGGUGAAAUGCGUAGAGAUGUGGAGGAAUACCGGUGGCGAAGGCGGCCCCUGGGACAAAGACUGACGCUCAUGUGCGAAAGCGUGGGGAGCAAACAGGAUUAGAUACC
rnacentral:rRNA from 1 species